UAUCAAAACACUCCCCCUCCCCCAAUCAUUUACCCUAAAUCAAAACAAAAAGUGGCAAAGGCGAAAAUUUGUGCAAACAGAAUUCCAAAGCUGCAUCAAGGCUCCAAUCACACUGCUAAACAACAUUCAAAAGCCCUCAAUCCUAACACUUUGAACAUGUCAGACAAUCAACCAGCACGCAGGACUGCGUCUUCUAGAGAGGGAAUGGGUGGCGCUAAGGGAAGAAAGGGUUCUUCAAAGAAGGAGGUGAAGGAGGUGAAGGAGGUGAAGGAGAAGAAGAAGGUUUUGACUGGUUCUGCUUCUCGUCCCCUGGGGGUCCAUGGCUCGGACGUGC